GACGGAGGAUGCAAGCGUUAUCCGGAAUGAUUGGGCGUAAAGCGUCCGCAGGUGGCAGUUCAAGUCUGCUGUCAAAGACCGGGGCUUAACUUCGGAAAGGCAGUGGAAACUGAACAGCUAGAGUAUGGUAGGGGCAGAGGGAAUUCCUGGUGUAGCGGUGAAAUGCGUAGAGAUCAGGAAGAACAUCGGUGGCGAAGGCGCUCUGCUGGACCAUAACUGACACUCAGAGACGAAAGCUAGGGGAGCGAAUGGG
rnacentral:rRNA from 1 species